UACAGAGGGGGCGAGCGUUGUUCGGAAUUACUGGGCGUAAAGCGUGCGCAGGCGGUUUUGUAAGUCAGAUGUGAAAUCCCCGGGCUUAACCUGGGAACUGCGUUUGAAACUACAAGGCUAGAGUGUGGCAGAGGGGGGUGGAAUUCCACGUGUAGCAGUGAAAUGCGUAGAGAUGUGGAGGAACACCGAUGGCGAAGGCAGCCCCCUGGGUUAACACUGACGCUCAGGCACGAAAGCGUGGGGAGCAAACAGG
rnacentral:rRNA from 1 species